AUUGAACGCUGGCGGCAGGCUUAACACAUGCAAGUCGAGCGGGGUGAUGGUGCUUGCACUAUCACUUAGCGGCGGACGGGUGAGUAAUGCUUAGGAAUCUGCCUAUUAGUGGGGGACAACAUCUCGAAAGGGAUGCUAAUACCGCAUACGUCCUACGGGAGAAAGCAGGGGAUCACUUGUGACCUUGCGCUAAUAGAUGAGCCUAAGUCGGAUUAGCUAGUUGGUGGGGUAAAGGCCUACCAAGGCGACGAUCUGUAGCGGGUCUGAGAGGAUGCACCGCCGCACUGGGACUGAGACACGUCCCAGACUCCUACGGGAGGCAGCAGUGGGGAAUAUUGGACAAUGGGGGGAACCAUGAUCCAGCCAUGCCGCGUGUGUGAAGAAGGCCUUAUGGUUGUAAAGCACUUUAAGCGAGGAGGAGGCUCUUUUGGUUAAUACCCAAGAUGAGUGGACGUUACUCGCAGAAUAAGCACCGGCUAACUCUGUGCCAGCCGCCGCGGUAA
rnacentral:rRNA from 1 species